rnacentral:misc_RNA from 1 species
CCCUUGUGGAGGAGGACGCCGAAGGUGGGGCUAAUGACUGGGGUGAAGUCGUAACAAGGUAGCCGUACCGGAAGGUGCGGCUGGAUCACCUCCUAACAGGGAGACAACAAAAUGUUUAAUAUUAUUUUGUCACCUUAGGUCGAUCGGUAUCUCACAUCCUUAAUUCAUUAAGGAUUUCAUUUCCUAAGUUUUUCUAGGUCACACCCAUUUUUUUCCUGGGCCAUUAGCUCAGGUGGUUAGAGCGCACCCCUGAUAAGGGUGAGGUCCCUGGUUCAAGUCCAGGAUGGCCCAUAUCUCUAUGUUGGGGGUAUAGCUCAGUUGGUAGAGCGCCUGCUUUGCAAGCAGGAUGUCAGCGGUUCGAGUCCGCUUACCUCCACUGAUUACCACCUCUUCCAUAAUGUGUAAGAAGGAAAAAUUUUUGAGUUGUGACCAAAUUCUGAACGAAUCUAGCUUCCUAAUGAAAUCAUUAAGAUGCUGGACUCAUUGAAUUAAUUUCAUUGUUUUCAGAGAACCUUGACAACUGCAUAGAUUAUUUUUUUAAAGACAAUAAGCAUCUUUAAUGAUGCAGAUUUAUUAUUUGUGCGAAUGCAUUAAUAACAAUUCUAUUAAGCUGAUGCUUCAAUUUUUGAAGUUAUUGGUCAAGCUACAAAGGGCUCACGGA